UACAGAGGGGGCAAGCGUUGUUCGGAAUUACUGGGCGUAAAGGGCGCGUAGGCGGCCUGCUAAGUCGAACGUGAAAUCCCCGGGCUCAACCCGGGAACUGCGUCCGAUACUGGAAGGCUCGAAUCCGGGAGAGGGAUGCGGAAUUCCAGGUGUAGCGGUGAAAUGCGUAGAUAUCUGGAGGAACACCGGUGGCGAAGGCGGCAUCCUGGACCGGUAUUGACGCUGAGGCGCGAAAGCCAGGGGAGCAAACGGG
rnacentral:rRNA from 1 species